GGAGAGCAGAGGCGCGGUUCAGAAAAGCUCGAGUGCCUCCUUCAUCUCCGGGAGGACCGUGACCACCAGCCGGCAAGUCAACCGCACUGAAGCAGCAGGUACCACAAGGAAGAGAGCGGGGCGGGGAGGCCAGAAGGUUAGGCUAGGGGGACCUGAGGACUGUGGCUGUAAAGCAGGCAGGCACUAGGAGAAAAGCGGUGGCCCUGCCUCGCGUCCCUGGCCACUCACAGUCCUCCAGAGUCCUGUAGGCUCUAGGUAUCUCUGAGUCUGCUAGGUGAGAUGCACAGCCAUUGGAAAACUGGGAAGGGCUGAGCAAGGUGAACAUGGGAACCUCUCAGUAGUAACUGGGGACCAAGGUACAGGGGUAUCUGGCUGGUCCCACCCAAGCCUUCCUAGUUCAGGAGCUACUCCUAGAGACAGCAUAUAUUUCCAGGCCACAUGUACAAUGCUCCCUUUUCAUGUCCUCCCUUACCCACUAGCUCACCUCAGGCUGUGAGUAUCCAGACCCUUACUUAGAGAUUCUUCAGGGUCAUAAACCCCAGGGUGAAGUAGGCUUCAGUGACCAAAUAGGUCUGUCCCUGAUCAGAAGUUUCUGACUUCCUCCAGUGACUUGGGCAUCAUGAAGAGAACAAGAGGGGUAGGUGUCAGGGCCUCCAGCUAGGACAGGUGGCUUAAGGAAGGCUGUUCACACACCUCUGGGGGUGAGAUUGCAGUCAGUAUAAUUUAUGCCCAUCCUAAGAAUGCCUUGCCCCUGUCAGGCUCCUGACCCCAGUCUCCUUCCUGUCUCCUUUUGGGGUAAGAUAAUGAACACUUUUUGUUCCAUACAUUAUUUACCUACUGUUGAGCUAUCGUGAUUAUUAUCUCUUUAUCUGUAAGACUCUGGCUACCUUUUGAGUCAUGCCGAGUGAAUGCUCCAUCGUUUGUGAGCAAGGAACCAAGUGAGCAGGAAACUCAAUAGGGUUGUGUGCUUCUGCUUGUUUGUGGCCGUCUCCAGAGUUUGACAUUGCAAAUGGAAGUGUAAGACUCAGCCUGUAGCCCCACAGUUUGUCUCUCUGCUUCUCCAUCUAUGUGAUCUGGAGAGUUGACUUGGGGUCAUAGUUAUUCUAAGUCAUAAAAUAGGGCAAAGAGAUUAAAUAAAUUUUAAGGCGUCUUAUAAACUGCACAGGUAUUCAUUUCAGCAAACUUCACAUCUUGGACUUUGGCAGUGUCUAGAGAUAACCAAGAGGUUUCUCCUGACCAAACUUCAAGGACAGUGAUUUCGUUCAUAGUGUUUCUAAAGACCUGUGUCUUACUCUUUAUUUCCUUUAUUCUAAGGGCAUCUUCCACUCCUAUCUCAAGGGAUUCCCCCCCGCCCCCAUCACUCCAAAUGGUAAUAUUAGGCUACAAUUGUCUGUCAGAGAGAAGCAGGUCACAGUGUGCUGGUCAGCAUCAACACCAUCAGGGGAGGAUUGGUGAUGGUGAACUCCCCCAAGGAAACAAAAUAUGAUCCAGCUUCUGAAGAGGGACUGCUUCAGAGGGGCUGAGAAGUCUGUGUGUAUCACUUUGGUUUCUCAAGACCAUAGACAUUUUGAGGACUGCAGAGAUGGUUCAGGGGUUAGAAGUCUUUGCUGCUUGUCUGAGUUAGAGUUACUAUUGCUAUGAAGAGAUACAUGACCACUGCGACUCUUAUAAAGGGAAACAUUUAAUUGGGGCUGGCUUUCAGGCUCAGAGGUUUAGUCCAUUAUGGUCAUGGCAGAAAACAUGGCAGUGUGCAGGUAGACACAGUGCUGGUGAAGGAGCUGAGAGUUCUAAGUCUGGCCACAGGAAGGGAAAGUGACACUGGACCUGGCUUGAACACUUGAAACCCAAAGCUCACCCUCAGCGACACACUUCCUCCGUGGCCAUACCUCCCAAUCCCACUCCCUAAGCAUUUCAAAUAUGAGUCUGUGGAAGCCGUUCUUAUUCAAACCACCACACUGCUCUGGCACAGGACCUGAGUUUUCAAUUCCUAGCACUUAUGUGGUGGCUUACAACCAUCCAUAACUCCAGUUUUAGAGUAUUCCCUCUUCUGGUCUGUCUGGGCACCUGGCAUUAUUGUCAGUAUAUGUGCAUGCAUGCAGGCAAUGUACUCAUACAUAUAACAUAAAGAAAUUUAGAUAAAUAAAAAUGAAAUGUUUUU
rnacentral:lncRNA from 1 species